rnacentral:lncRNA from 1 species
UAUAAAGGGGAGUUCCCCUAUGCAAGCUCUCAUUUCUGCUGCCGUUUAAGAUGUGCCUUUGCCUCUCCUUUGCCUUCCAACAUGAUUGUGAGGCCUCCCCAGCCAUGUGGAACUGUGAGUCCAUUAAAUCUCUUUCCUUUAUAAAUUAUCCAGUCUCCGGUAUGUCUUUAUUAGCAGGAUCAACAUGAACUAAUACAACAAGUAAAUGAGAAUAUAGACUAAGAAAAUUCAAACAGAUUAAACUCACAGACUUCAAAACCUUGUUCCACUGGCAGGAAACUGAAGUCAACAAAACAUUGUGGAUAGCAAAGCUGGGUCCAGAGAAUCCUCACAUGAUAUAAAACUGCCUGCUAAACUGGAACAAACCAUCACUGAACUUGUUAUAUGAGAAAACUAAGGUCCAGAGAGAUUAAACAACUUGCCCAAAGUUACACGCAUACUAAAUGGAAAAACUGAGACUUAGACACAGGUCAUCUGGCGAGCACCCCGGUAUUUCUCCCGCACAUUAAUUUCCUUGGAGUCCACUUCACACGAGCCCAACUGGCAGACAUUCUCUCUUUUUUUCUCUUUAUAGAACUAUAAAACUGUGUUAUUUGAGUUAUACAUUACCAUAAUGGAUGCGGUAAUAGUGCUUUGUCAGCUGUAUCUCCCUGUUGGCUGUCUCUGCUUUUGCCUUGAGGAGCUAUUAUUGUACUGUAGCAAAUGUUAAGAAAAAGAGUAGACUUCUAUCUUAUUUAUUAACAAUGGUGAGUAAUUAUAUCUUAAAACAUUUGUCCACUCCAUUUACCCUCCAUAACAUAGUUUCUUGCCAAGAAGACAUUAUUUAAGAGAAAUUGAAAGAACAUAUGCAUUGUGCACUGCCCCAGUAUCACCAUCACCUCCACCUCUACUUCCUGGGUAAUCCUGUGUGCUGAAUUACUCACUUUCUAACCCAGCUCUUCAUUUUUCAGCAAAGAAGAAUUGUGUUUAUAAGAUGUGUGAAAAGAGAAGAAAGAUGUUUGUCAGUAGGUUGGUUUACUCUGUGAAAGUAAGUGUCCUUAGGACGCAUCACUUCUGUUGUAAGAGUCUUAAUGGGAAUAAGCUUUAAGUGGAACCAAACAACUUCAAAUGCCCUGUUAUUUAUC